GGUGAAGCCCCACGCUGGCCCGAGACGUGCUUCUGAGGACGUCCAAGGGGCCCGCGCCGCCAUUCUGAGAGUGCCCGCCUUGGAGGGGAUUGUUUUCGGCGAAGGUAUACACUCCCGAUCUUGAGCUGAGGGAAGGUUGUUGUGUCCUCCCCUUGGCUGAAAUCCUCUUGUCCAUCAGGAAUCUAAUUUGUAUGUCUCCACUGAACUGCGAUGAACCGUCCUCUGCUGAAGUUGCUCAAUGUGCUGCAUAUGAAGAGGAGAAUGUGCUCCUGGUGCAGAAGUUGAAUUUGUCAACUCAUUAAUGACCCGAGUCCCUCUGAGUUUCCCACACAAGGAAAGACUCCCCUGGAGUCACAUCUCAUCUCCCAAAGGCCUCUAGGUCUGCCUCGGCUGCUGCUUUUCACGUGAGGUGCCUCCCAGAUGUGUGUUGUUGAUACUCAAUAUGCGCCUGUCUGAGCCGUCCCACCGCAAGCUGAAGUGGGCAAACCCUGGAAACUACACACUCAGUCCCUUAGGAUCUAGCCAGAGUCUACUGUUAAGUGGCCUCCUACAACAUUUGGAAGGAGAAGAGAAAGAGAAGCC
rnacentral:lncRNA from 1 species